rnacentral:rRNA from 1 species
GAUGAACGCUGGCGGCGUGCCUAAUACAUGCAAGUCGAGCGAACAGACGAGGAUUUUGCUCCUCUGACGUUAGCGGCGGACGGGUGAGUAACACGUGUAUACCCUACCUAUAAGACUGGGAUAACUUCGGGAAACCGGAUCUAAUACCGGAUAAUAUAUUGAACCGCAUGGUUCAAUAGUGAAAGACGGCUUUGCUGUCACUUCUAGAUGGUUCCGCGCCGCAUUAGCUAGUUGGUAAGGUAACGGCUUACCAAGGCAACGAUGCGUAGCCGACCUGAGAGGGUGAUCGGCGACACUGGAACUGAGACACGGUCCAGACUCCUACGGGAGGCAGCAGUAGGGAAUCUUCCGCAAUGGGCGAAAGCCUGACGGAGCAACGCCGCGUGAGUGAUGAAGGUCUUCGGAUCGUAAAGCUCUGUUAUUAGGGAAGAACAAAUGUGUAAGUAACUAUGCACGUCUUGACGGUACCUAAUCAGAAAGCAACGGCUAACUACGUG